AGGUGCGGGUGAAGAUGGCGGCAGCCGAGGCCGCGAACUGCAUCAUGGAGGUGUCCUGUGGCCAGGCGGAAAGCAGUGAGAAGCCCAACGCUGAGGACAUGACAUCCAAAGAUUACUACUUUGACUCCUACGCACACUUUGGCAUCCACGAGGAGAUGCUGAAGGACGAGGUGCGCACCCUCACUUACCGCAACUCCAUGUUUCAUAACCGGCACCUCUUCAAGGACAAGGUGGUGCUGGACGUCGGCUCGGGCACCGGCAUCCUCUGCAUGUUUGCUGCCAAGGCCGGGGCCCGCAAGGUCAUCGGGAUCGAGUGUUCCAGUAUCUCUGAUUAUGCGGUGAAGAUCGUCAAAGCCAACAAGUUAGACCACGUGGUGACCAUCAUCAAGGGGAAGGUGGAGGAGGUGGAGCUCCCAGUGGAGAAGGUGGACAUCAUCAUCAGCGAGU
rnacentral:circRNA from 1 species